rnacentral:rRNA from 1 species
CUUACAUUUUUAGUAUAAGUCGCAAUGCGACCUACAAGUGUUACAUAGCUGUCUUCAGUUCAUGCCGUAAGGUUUUAGGUUAAGUCCAUUAAUGAACGAAAUCCUACAAUUAUAUUAAUAUAAUUAAUUUAUUAUGAUAAUUAUUUAUCUAAUAUUAAGGAUUAAGACAAGUCCUCAUGACCUUAAUAAAAUGGGCUAUAUACGUGAUACAAAUAUACAUACAAAAUCAAGUAAUAUAGUGAUAUAUAACAAAUGAUAUAAAAUGUAUAAUUUAUUAAUUAAUUUAUUAAUUAUAUUUAAUAUGAAUCAUAUACUGUAAUUCGUAUAUGUGAAAUAGGAAUUGUGAGUAAUACGUAAUUAAGUACAUUACGGUGAAACAUUCUCUUAUGCGUACUAAUCACUCAUCAUUCGCUUGAAAUAUUUAAAUACUAAAAUAUAUAUAUUAUUUAAGGGCGACGCUCUCUAUAAUUAAUAUAUAUUAAGUACUGAAUUUGACAAGUGAG